ensembl:lncRNA
UAUAUACGUUAUAUAUCAUAUAUAUUAUUAUAUACAGGGUCGCGGGGAACCUGGAGCCUAUCCCAGGGGGCACUAGGAAAAUUUGCACUAGGAGAAAUCUUUGGAGGUAGUUAAAUGUUCACGAGGGAGAUGGUCUGUGGGAAAAAGCUGCUCUUGUGCCUGGAUGUUCUGGUGCUCAGUACUCUGUGGUGCCAGCCAGAGGGCAGCAGUUCAAAGAGGUUGUGGACAGGGUGAGUGGAGUCCGUUUCCUCAUUCUGGAAGGAGGGUAAUGGAGCACCAAUAAUCCCCUCAGCAGCCUGGACUGUCCGUUGUAGUCUUCUUAUGUCCGAUUUGUUUAGUUGAACCAAACCAGACAGUUAUUAAAGUGAACAGAACAGACUCAAUGACAGUUGAAUAGAAUUGGGUCAGCAGCUCCUGUGGCAAGUUGAACUUCCUCAGUUGGCAAAGGAAGUACAGCCUCACAGUGAAGUCUACAGUAUAUGAGUGUCCCUUUAGAUCUUGUGAGAUGGUAGAGCCCAGGAACCUGAAGGACUCCACGGUGGCCACAGUCAGCUAUGCUGGGGAGUUCCAGAGUGUUCAGCUCCAGGUUCUUUUGACUGCACCAGGCAGCCAGCUGGUCAACCUCCUUUCUGUAUGCAGACUCAUCGCCGUCCUCGAUAAGGCCAAGGACUGUGGUGUCAUCUACAAACUUCAGGAGCUUGACAGAGGCAUCUGUAGAGGUGCAGGCAUUUGUGUAGAGGGAGAAGAGCAUUGGGAAGAGCACACAACCCUGAAGAGCACCAGUGCUGAUUGUGCAGGUGCUGGAUGUGAAUUUUCCCAGCUUUACUAACUGCUGUCUGUCAGAAAGCUGGUGAUCCACUGACAGAUGGCACUUGGCACACAGAGCCGGGUUAAUGUACACAGGAGGAGGUGAUGGUAUUAAAAGUCGAACUGAAGUCCACAAAUAGGAUCCUUGCAUAGGUCCCUGGUCUGUCAAGGUGUUGCAGGAUGUAAUGCAGACCCAUGUUAACUGCAUUAUCCACUGACCUGUUUGCUUGAUAAUCAAACGGAUG